GUUGGUGUAGCUGCCUGGUAGAGUGCAUGAUUUGUAUGUAUGAUGUUCUGGGUUCAAUCCCCAGCUGCUCCC